UACGGGAGGCAGCAGUGGGGAAUUUUGGACAAUGGGGGAAAGCCUGAUCCAGCAAUGCCGCGUGUGUGAAGAAGGCCUUCGGGUGUAAAGCACUUUUUCGGGGAAGAAGUCAUGUGGCUAAUACCUCGGGGAAGACGUACUGAAGAAGAAGCACCGGCAAUUUCGG
rnacentral:rRNA from 1 species